AAUGAACACAAAUUUGAUCACUUUGGCAAUCUGUACACAUUGCUGUGUAACAAUUUGUAUACGUUGGCACAGUGCUAUCAAAGCUGCAUGCAAGUGUUUUUUUGAAAGGAUACAACAUGGGAUGUGAUAUUCAUGUGUGUGUGCCUGCUUUGUCCACAGCCUGUGCUGUAUGAAUCACAUUUCUUGCAACUGAAAUGCUAAUGGCAUGGUAAAGUUCAUGUGACAUGACACAAGCUUGAGAUUCAUGAUGUGCAAGUACCAUGAGGGAAAUGUGAAAAGGACUUUGGAAAGAGAAUUAAAUAAAGCCUGCAUUUGCUGACAAUGAAAGCAAGUGUGGAUGUUCAUGUAAUUGUUACUGCAUCAAUCAAUGUUCAUCUUGGUUACUGCAUGCUUUAUAUUACAGCUCAGAACAUGAAGUGUGUGUAACAGCUCUGCUUUGAUUUUUCCCACAUGGGAUCAGUUGAAACAUUGUGAGAGCACUCUUCAGUUUCCUUAUGUACCCACCAGCUUUGUCCACUCGCGUGUUGGCACACAUGUAAUGAUGAUGUGUUUAUGCAAAAUACUUCUGUGCUCAACAACAUGUUGUGUCAAUCCUCACUUGACCCGUCUUGAAACACGGACCAAGGAGUCUGGCAAGUGUGCAAACCAACUUUCUGUAGAGAUUUGUAUGUAAUGAACAUGUUUGUAUCAUUAUUGCACCACCAAUCAAUAUUCAGCUCGUUGCUUAUUUGAAUGUGAGCAUUGUUGCUAGGACCCGAAAGAUGGUGAACUAUGCUUGCAUAACAUGAGUUCAGAGGAAACUCUGAUGGAAGUUUGUAUCGGUACUGACGUGCAAAUCGUUCGUCACAACUGGGUAUAGGGGCGAAAGACUAAUCGAACCAUCUAGUAGCUGGUUCCUCCCGAAGUUUCCCUCAGGAUAGUUGGGAUUUGUUCAGUUAUAUUAUUUAAAGCGAAUGUUUAAAGGAAUUGGGGGCUUGUUUGCCUUUGACCUAUUCUCAAACUUUUAAUGUGUAUUAUUGCUGGAAUAACACAGAGUAUUGCAUGCAAUGAAAAAAUCAAGUGGGCCAUUUUUGGUAAGCAGAACUGGCGAUGAGGGAUGAACCUAAUAGUGGGUAAACAUGCUUAAUUUCCUGCCUAUGUGAUACCAGAAAGGGUGUUGGUUCAU
rnacentral:rRNA from 1 species